AAUGAACGCUGGCGGCGCGCCUAAUACAUGCAAGUCGAGCGAGAAGACGUAGCAAUACGUUUGUAAAGCGGCGAACGGGUGAGGAAUACAUGGGUAACCUACCCUCGAGUGGGGAAUAACUAGCCGAAAGGUUAGCUAAUACCGCGUACGCUUCUUGGACUUCGGUUCAGGGAGGAAAGCGAUGCCGAGGGUAUCGCGCUCUUGGAUGGGCUCAUGUCCUAUCAGCUUGUUGGGAGGUAACGGCUCACCAAGGCUUCGACGGGUAGCUGGUCUGAGAGGACGAUCAGCCACACUGGCACUGCGACACGGGCCAGACUCCUACGGGAGGCAGCAGUAAGGAAUAUUGCGCAAUGGGCGAAAGCCUGACGCAGCGACGCCGCGUGAGGGGAUGACGGCC
rnacentral:rRNA from 1 species